UUUGAACUCACAAUGCUUAAGUCCUGGAAAAUCAUAGGUGGGGGAAAUGUCUGUACCAAGAUUUAGCCAAAAAAUAAACUUUGGAGAAUAUGAUAAUUACGUUCCAGUCAGUGAAUUAAGCAAAAAAUCAUGGAAUCAGCAACAUUUUGCCCUGGUAUUUCCCAAACCACCAAGGCCAGGAAAAAAAAGGAGAUCAAAACCUUCCCUACUACAAGAAAAUACAAGUCCUAAAUAUGAUGCAGAGAAGUUAAGGGGAGAUCGUAAACAACCUUUAUGGAUGCACCGUUCUUUAAUGAGAAUUUCUGAGAGACCAUCUGUUUAUUUAGCUGCCAGGAGUCGGCAUCCCCAGAAAGAAACUCCUCCCUCCCAGGAGGAUGCUAAACAGGCAGCAAAACCUUCAUCUCCGAUUGUUAAGAAAAGUAAAGAAGACAAGGACAAAUCAGAUUCAGAAGCAGAGUCCAUAGUUUCAAAGGAAAAACCCAGGAAACUUUCAAAAGCUAAAGAAGAGAAACCAGAUGAAAAGAAAGAUUUAAAAAAAGAAAGAAAAGAUUCAAAGAAGGGCAAGGAAUCAGCGACAGAAUCUGAAGAUGAAAAAGCAGGUGCAGAGAAAGGUGCUAAAAAAGGUAAAAAAGGUUCAAAGAAGGGCAAGGAGUCUGCUACAGAAUCAGAAGGUGAAAAAGGAGAUGCAAAGAAAGAUGACAAAAAAGGUAAAAAAGGUUCAAAGAAGGGCAAAGAGUCUGCUACAGAAUCAGAAGGUGAAAAAGGAGAUGCAAAGAAAGAUGACAAAAAAGGUAAAAAAGGUUCAAAGAAGGGCAAAGAGUCUGCUACAGAAUCAGAAGGUGAAAAAGGAGAUGCAAAGAAAGAUGACAAAAAAGGUAAAAAAGGUUCAAAGAAGGUCAAGGAGUCUGAUUCAAAGGCAGAAGGUGAUAAAGGAGAUGCAAAGAAAGAUGACAAAAAAGAUAAGAAAGGUUCAAAGAAGGGCAAGGAGUCUGCUACAGAAUUAGAAGGUGAAAAAGGAGAUGCAAAGAAAGAUGACAAAAAAGGUAAAAAAGGUUCAAAGAAGGGCAAAGAGUCUGCUACAGAAUCAGAAAGUGAAAAAGGAGAUGCAAAGAAAGAUGACAAAAAAGGUAAAAAAGGUUCAAAGAAGGGCAAAGAGUCUGCUACAGAAUCAGAAGGUGAUAAAGGAGAUGCAAAGAAAGAUGACAAAAAAGAUAAGAAAGGUUCAAAGAAGGGCAAGGAGUCUGCUACAGAACCAGAAGGCGAAAAGAAAGAUUCAAAGGAUAAGGAAGGGAAAAAAGAUCCAAAGAAAGCAGGUGAGAAAGGUGAUGAAUCAAAGGACAAAAAAGAUGCAAAGAAGAAGGACAGUAAAAAAGAAAAGAAAGAUGAGAAGAAGCCUGGUGAGGCAGAAAGUGAGCCAAAGGAUUCAGCCAAGAAGGAUGCCAAGAAGGACGCCAAGAAGGAUGCCAAGAAGGAUGCCAAGAAGGAUGCCAAAAAGGGAAAGUAGGCCUUGGAUGAUAAUUCAAAAGCAUAUUUGAUGAAACAAUUUUAGUAGUCUGAAACUGCAUCUAUGAGUGGAAGUUGUAUCCAAAGAAUUAAUGACAUAAUUUGUAAAAUGUGGGAAAGAAGAAUUCAAAAGAUGGACUCAAAAAAGCUUCAUUAAAAAAAAAUAAGGAAAAACAUUAAAAGGGCUUGGAGGUUAGUUACAAAAUAUUUGGGGAGACGAGGAUUCAAAGAAAGACCCCCAGAAAGAUUCAAAAAGAAUAUUCAAAUAAGAAAGUAGAAGUUAAUGAUGUUGAAUCUAUGGAUACAAGGAAGAAACAAAAUCAACAAAGGAGUAAAAAAAAAUCAUGGAUACAGAUGUUGAAUACAUAGAUUUAAACAACUUGAAGUUAAUACCCACAGAUUUAAAUAAAGAAUCGUAGAAGUCGGAGGGGAAGUCAAACAAAUUUCAUAAAAUCUACUUUCAAAUAAGCACAAAUACAGCAUUCCUAAAAAAAAAAAAAAAAAAAAGAAAAGAAAAAAAAAGGAAAAAGAAAAAAAAAAUUACUGCUUUUUUGUGAGCCUAUACCAUCUCUGAAGAAUAACCAGCCACAAACAAGUUGAUGGAUAUUGAAUACUCUGCUUCCAAGACAAGAUAAACAUACUUGAAAAUGGUGGCCAAUUUCUCUCCAUUUAAGGAAUGACGUAAAUCAAAAUUGUCCAAAUUACAAAUGACUGCCAUGAAGAUGUAUUGAAAGUUCUACCACACAUGAAGAGUCUAAUACCCCACUCAUUUGAUGAUUUGCCAGCUCUAAUUUUGAAAGAACAUACUGACCACAAUGGUAAAAAUAUCAAUUUUAAAAAAAUCUACUCUCUGUAUUAUGUGCAUCUAUUUCCCUAUUUUCCUGUGUGUUCUGACCAAACUUACAACUAGCACACAGUUGCAUGUGGCUUCUGUUUUGUCAAACUAUUA